rnacentral:misc_RNA from 1 species
AAGUCGUAACAAGGUUUCCGUAGGUGAACCUGCGGAAGGAUCAUUAACAAAUACUACUUUGUAGUCAAACCAAAAUGUUGAACUGUAUCGGAAACGUUGGGGUUUUCGCUAAGUUUCCCUAGCGUUUCUUUGUUUUAUCAAAAUUUAGCUUUCUAUUUUAACCCAAUUUCACCUCGAUAUUCACAAGUAUGAACUUAAACAUUUUCUAUCUGAAAAGACUGAAAAAACCAUACGAAAUUUAAGAACAACUCUUAACGACGGAUAUCUUGGCUCUC